rnacentral:rRNA from 1 species
AUUGAACGCUGGCGGCAUGCUUUACACAUGCAAGUCGAACGGCAGCGCGGGGGCAACCCUGGCGGCGAGUGGCGAACGGGUGAGUAAUGCAUCAGAACGUAUCCUGUAAUGGGGGAUAACGUAGCGAAAGUUACGCUAAUACCGCAUACGCUCGAGAGAGGAAAGUGGGGGAUCGCAAGACCUCACGUUAUAGGAGCGGCCGAUGUCCGAUUAGCUAGUUGGUGGGGUAAAGGCCUACCAAGGCGACGAUCGGUAGCUGGUCUGAGAGGAUGAUCAGCCACACUGGGACUGAGACACGGCCCAGACUCCUACGGGAGGCAGCAGUGGGGAAUUUUGGACAAUGGGCGAAAGCCUGAUCCAGCCAUGCCGCGUGCGGGAAGAAGG